CAAUUUGCAAUAAAAUGUCUGAUUUGUAACUGAGGAUUUUAAAAAGCCUCUGUGAUGGCUGAAACAGUAUUUUGGAAGUCAGGAGGAUUAUUUUUCCUUUUUUUCCUAAAUUGCUGAAAAUAACAUAAAUUAUAUUUCUACAGGAAGGAAAUGGUUCUGUGGGAAAUCAGUCAGGAGGGUUUUGGCUGUGGCACAGUCACAGCAGCACGAGCCUCUCACCUGCCGAGCCGGUCGCCGAUCCAGCCCACGGUGAAGGAGGAGACCAUGCCACCGAUGGCGAACACCGACACGGACAGGGACCAGUACAUGAUCAGCCCCUGAUGGGUCCAGCAGCCAACUUACAGCACUCAUUGGAUGAUGCUCUCAGUCAGCCAGGCUUCACAUGGGCACAAAAUGUACUUUCUACAGAGGAAGAGCAAGAGAAAAAACAACAAAGAUGAGUGUAAGACCACUAAUCUUUGCACUGGUCUCCAGUAAGGUAAAACUUUAACUGGAGGAGGAAAGUUCAUUGCAUUAAGCAGGCUCUGAUUCCAGCCACAGCACCUGCAUUCCCCUCUUGGGCUGGUGUAGCUGUGACAGGAAGGGCCCCAAGGCUGAGCUUUUUAGUUUUCCCCAAUAUUUGUCUUUCCUGCUGAGAUCUUUGCCAAUGGUGUUUGUUUGCUCGCUGUGUGUGGAUACCCAGGCAUUUACAAGCAGUUUCUUUGCAUUGCAGUUAAAUACCUUCACAAUGGGACUGGCAGGAUUUGAUAAUUACCAGGCUGCUAAGGCUUGAAUCAAAAAAUAAAUGGGAACCCUGACCCAAGACUGAAACCUUCAGGCACUGUGAAAUCCUUGCCAGGACAGAUGUUCCCCUCCAGGAUUCCCAUGUACCCCUCUAGGAUCCCCAUCCUGUUGCAGGUGCCUGGCACAGAGGAUGAUGCUUUCUCUCCCUCCUCUUCCCAAACUUCUGGAUCUGGAGGGAUCAAAGGCCACCAACAUACCACAGGCAGGGUGACCUUUCCAUGUCCUGCUGCUCAGAGCAGAGCCUUCCUGUAAUCCAGCUUCCCGAGGACUGGGUGUGGAGCAGCUGGAGCAGCGCUGGGAGGCACGGGUGAACAUCACUCACCUCCCCAGGAGCAGCCCUUCGACUUCCAUGGAAACUCUGGAUGCCAAAGGCUGCCAAAUGCCCCACAGCCACAUGUAUCCCUUGGCCAGGUCUGCUAGCAAAAGGCACGGAGUUACCCCGGGGUUUUCCCAUCCCUCCCUGGCAGGCAAGAUGAUGCAACCCAGUGCCAGGGCUGCCUCACCUCUGCCUCACCUCUACCACCCCUGGCUGGUGCCAGCUGGGCUGUGACACAGCCUCCAGCUUGGCCUCAGGCAAUUGAAGCACAAACUGAACUCUCAGUAGCACUAACAGGCUCCAGACCCUGUGAUUGUCUGAACAGGGGGCUGGAUGUGCAUGUGGUGAUUAGCAGAGGCCCCAGGCCCAUGGAUGAGAAAGGUUGGUGUGUAAAUCUUCCUCUCACUGCAAUUGCUUCCCAAAGGGGCUGAUUUUUAGCUUGGUAGAGAGAAGCACAGUGUUCCUACAGAACAGAGAACCAGGCUACACCAGGAUGAAUGACCUACCCAUGAAAUCUCUUGCACAUCCGACAGCCAGUUGUGAUCUCAGUCCAGAGGGUGCAGAGACUGGCACAGCACAGCAACACUGACCCAUCCCACAGCUGGUGAGCCUGGCCAGGCAGUGUUUAGGUGAUUGGCAAACAACAGGGUCUGCAUUAUUGCUAAUCCUUUAUUUAAAUAAUAAAGUGCAAGAACUGUGCAUAAUGUUAGGCAGAAUUGCCAUGCUUAUUACCUACUCUAUGUUGUGUGUAGUGUAAUUGGUGCUGUUGCUAACUAUGUGUGAUAAAAGCAAUGGGCUGAAGUUUAUGGUGGGGCUCUGCUUUUGAACAGCUGAACAUGCUUGUCACCUCAGUGGAAGGAAUUCAAAGAUUCCAGAGGGACUGUGAGGCAUCCCCAGGUGCUGGGGCAAUUUGCACAUCCAUUUUACUGCCUUUGGGUCAUUCAGAGACAGCUUUGAUGUUAAAAAAAAAAGAGGAAAAGUAUGCCAUAAACCAAACCAAAACAAAGAACAAAAGGUAGAUCUGGUCUGCAAGACUCUGGCUAAGAGCAGGCUGAUGUAGCACAUCAGUGGCUGGCACAAAACCAAAACUAUGUUUGUUCAUUUCUCCUCUCUAAACACAUCAGCUGGGGCAGGCGGCAGUGCUGGGGCCACAUGUGAGACAGCAGCUCAGGCUGAUGAAACACUUUUAGGAGAGAGAAUUUGGCGCAUUUACAGCACUGCUGUAAAGAUACCGGAGGUUAAUGAGCCUCUUUUCCCACCCCCUGCUCUGGGUGGUGCAGCACCUCCCAGAAGAGAAAAAGUGGGAAGCAAACCCAGCAAACCCCUCCAUCUGCAGGUUCUGACUGCAGCAGAGGGCAAGACACAGAUGCUGCAGGGUGGCAGCAGCUGUGACAGGCGUCCUGUGCCAGGAAAUGCAUCUUUACUGCUGAGGAAUCUCUGCUGGAUCUCCUCAGAGCCGUGCCCAGCUGGGUGGCUUAGCCCAGACGCGGGCAGGGUGUGAUGUGGAGCUCCACCCCACAUUUUGGGAACAGCAGGUUCAGUCUCUGCUGGUCUACACCACACUCAUGCUGGCCUCGGUUACAGAGCAUCAAUUUGUUGCACGAGCAGGAAAAGACCUCAGGUGGGCUCACAUCGAGACAGUGAACUGCAGCACAACUUCAACCAUUUCCAGCAACCAGUCCAUCUCUGGACUUGGGGCCAGGGCCACCUUGAGCACCCCUGUUCUGUCCCAAAAUAUGGAGUGUCAACCCCCAAACCAUCUCAGAACAAGAACAAGGCCAUUUGAUAGUAAUUCUGAAACAGGUUUGAAAAGAUUCAGUUCCCACAAGUAGCUGCCACAGCCUCUGAGCAUCCUUCACCUGGCAGUGGUACCCAACAUCUCCCCAGGGUGGUGGGGUUAACCAUGGCCCUUGCAUGGCCUCUUGCCAGCUCUCAGGGCUUUUCUUCCAUUUACCAUGAGUCAAUCCUGAAGUUAUACCAUAUUUCAUAGCAACUCUGUAAAUAAUUGAAUCUGCAACAGGCUCAAGUGACCCCUGCAUGCAUAGACAUUACUGCUUUUUCCUCCUGUGGCACUGCACAGCUGAAAAAAAUUUCCUUUCCUGGGCAGAAAGUCCCAGAAACAGGGUUUUAAAAUGAGCUGCAGGCUUUAUUUCUUUAAACACUAAUAAUAAGUAGUUUCUGAGAGCAUUAAUCAACCAUAAGCACAUUUUACUUACAACAAAAGACAAGCAAAUCAAAGCUAGUAACAUUUGGAGGGGAAAUGUCUUUAUAAUAAUCAUAGAUUGAUUUUGUAGAAGAGGAGUUUUCAGGUGGUGAUGGUCCAUCAAGACAUCCCUUAUCCACUGCUCACUGCUGGGCAGCAUCACAAGGGAUGUGUCCCACCUCCCUGCACUCAUCCUGUUCCAAAAGCACCUUCCCAAGAGUCUCCAGACAAAGAGCAUUGUGACUGGGAGCCCUGAAAAUCCCCUUGACCUCCAUGUCUUCCAACACCCCAGGUUUAUUUACCCAAACAUAAAAGGCAUGGCUUAAUGGUGAAGUUUUGUGUUUUAUUGUGGCUGGCACCAGAAAAGCAUUUGCUCUGUGUUAUCUCCAUACACACAUGCCAUAGACAAGACUGUGGUAAUAAUGGCUUCUGUGAUUUUUGUUUCAAAUGAUUCUGAGAUUUUAAAAAAUACAUUCACAAACCACCUGAGUCGUUUAAACUCACUGACUGCCUGCUAUUUCAUCACUGUAUGCAAAAACCCAUAACAACAAAAAUCAUCCAAAGCCGUGCAUUUGUCACUUGAAGUAGAACAAAAAACACCCCAAAACAGUUACUGGUUUGCAACACAAUAAAAGCUCUGGGCUUUAUUUGAUUUGUAUUUUAACCACAAUGAAAAUACAAAGAGCUGGUGGCAAUCAGUGUUUGUGAUGGGAUUUGAACACCAGUACCGUGAUCCUGUGGCCAUCCCUACACUCUCCAGGCUGCACCAGCCCAACAGGAGGUGCCUGGUGCUGGAAGAAGGCACCACAAAGCACAUCCCACCUGUUUUUCCCUGAACUCCAUAUCCUGGGAGUCCCAGUGCUGGCAAUCCCUGCGGUACCAAACCCUUACACCUGCCCACACAGAACGCUUCAGGUGAGGGUGGCCCGGCCCAUCCCAUCCUCGCCACCCCACAUCACCUCUUACCCUUGAUAAAGAUUCAAGUUUGACCAAGUCCUGUUGAUUUAAUCAUUUUUUAAUAAAGCCAUCGUUACUGAGUACACCAAGAUUGCCAGUUAAGCUCUCUAUAUGUCGCUGGAGGUAACAGCGCUGUGAUCGACAGCGGAACGGAAAAAAAAUAAAACAAAACCAAACCAAAAAACAAACCCCAACCGAAACGAGGUAGGUUAAAACCAGCAACACAGACCUUGUUAUGCGACACCCCAACACCACAGGCGGCCAUGCUUGCAGCUACUGAGAAAGAAAACCCCAGAUACGCACCGAAAACGGAAAUCAACUGAGCAGAGUUUAUAAGGACACGAUUCAACCCGAACUAAACACACACACACGGUUCGGCACAGAUGUUGUCUUUCACUGUAUGUUGGGUAAUUCCUAGGGAGUGGAGGGGGUGGAAAACGAGUAGAUUCAGACCCUUGGCCGAAGAAACCACACAUAUAUAUAUUUUUUUUAAGCUCUUUACAAGCCCAAUCCAGCAACGUGGGGGACAGGCAGCUUGUUUCGUGGUCCCCAUCCCUGUGCCGGCUGCUCCCGCACGCCAGUGCCCGGCUCCGGACUCAGGGGUAACGAGUGCCCACAACCUGCACUGGAGCAUCGGGCUCCGGUGCCCACGGCAUCCCGGGAGCCUCUGUGGUCACAAAUCCCCCUCAGGGGCGAGAACGGGGCUCCUCUGACCGCUCCGCUGUCCUCUCCUCCUCCGAUCCCCUGUCCAGGUGCCCGUGGCCAAGCCCCGGGGCAGGCGGGCACCUCCGGAGCAACAAGAAAUGGCACCUCUGUCCCUAUCAAGACACACCAUUAUGUGAAGAUCCAUAUAGAAAUAUGGAUUGACAGACUUGACAAAAAUGGUAGCUGAUUUUUAUUAGUC